rnacentral:rRNA from 1 species
AAAACGUACUACCGAAGCUACGGCAUCAUUUAUGAUGGGUAGGAGAGCUUUCUAUACGGGUUGAAGCAUUACCGUAAGGAGAUGUGGACUGUAUAGAAGUGAGAAUGUUGGCAUGAGUAGCGAGAUGCGGGUGAGAAUCCCGCAGGCCGUAAACCCAAGGUUUCCAGGGGAAGGUUCGUCCGCCCUGGGUUAGUCAGGACCUAAGCCGAGGCCGAAAGGCGUAGGUGAUGGACAACAGGUUGAUAUUCCUGUACCACCAAUAACCGUUUGAGAAAUGGGAUGACACAGAAGGAUAAGCUAACCGCACUGUUGGUUAUGUGCGGGCAAGUAUUGAGGCAGUUCUGAUAGGCAAAUCCGUCAGAAUAAUGCUGGGGUACGAUGCGGAGCGAAAUUUAGUAGCGAAGUAGCUGAUUUCACACUGUCGAGAAAAGUCUCUAUCGAGGUUAAAGGUGCCUGUACCGCAAACCGACACAGGUGGGUGAGGAGAGUAUCCUAAGGCCAGCGAGAGAACUGUUGUUAAGGAACUCGGCAAAAUGACCCCGUAACUUAGGGAGAAGGGGUGCCUUCGAAAGAAGGCCGCAGAGAAUAGGCCCAAGCGACUGUUUACCAAAAACAUAGGUUUCUGCUAAGUCGCAAGACGAUGUAUAGGAGCUGACGCCUGCCCGGUGCUGGAAGGUUAAGGGGAUCUGUUAGGAUAACCGAAGCAGUGAACUUAAGCCCCAGUAAACGGCGGCCGUAACUAUAACGGUCCUAAGGUAGCGAAAUUCCUUGUCGGGUAAGUUCCGACCCGCACGAAAGGCGUAACGAUUUGGGCACUGUCUCAACAACAGACUGGGUGAAAUUGUAAUACCGGUGAAGAUGCCGGUUACCUGCGACAGGACGGAAAGACCCCAUGGAGCUUUACUGUAGCUUGACAUUGAGUCUCGGUGCUACAUGUACAGGAUAGGUGGGAGGCUAUGAAGCAUGGACGUCAGUCUGUGUGGAGCCAUCCUUGGGAUACCACCCUUGUAGUACUGGGAUUCUAACCAGCUGCCUUGAAUCAGGUAGUGGGACACUGUCAGGUGGACAGUUUGACUGGGGCGGUCGCCUCCUAAAAAGUAACGGAGGCGCUCAAAGGUUUCCUCAGCACGGUCGGAAAUCGUGCGAAGAGUGUAAAGGCAAAAGGAAGCUUGAUUGCAAGACAUACAGGUCGAGCAAGGACGAAAGUCGGACUUAGUGAUCCGGUGGUACCGCAUGGAAGGGCCAUCGCUCAACGGAUAAAAGCUACCCUGG